rnacentral:rRNA from 1 species
GAUGAACGCUAGCGGGAGGCCUAACACAUGCAAGCCGAGCGGGAUUUGUUGGUUAGCUUGCUAACUAACAAUGAGAGCGGCGUACGGGUGCGUAGCACGUGUGCAACCUGCCUUUAUCUGGGGGAUAGCCUUUCGAAAGGAAGAUUAAUACCCCAUAUCAUAUUGAUUGGCAUCAGUUAAUAUUGAAAGCUCCGGCGGAUAGAGAUGGGCACGCGUAAGAUUAGCUAGUUGGUGAGGUAACGGCUCACCAAGGCUGCGAUCUUUAGGGGGCCUGAGAGGGUGAUCCCCCACACUGGUACUGAGACACGGACCAGACUCCUACGGGAGGCAGCAGUGAGGAAUAUUGGACAAUGGGUGAGAGCCUGAUCCAGCCAUCCCGCGUGAAGGACUAAGGACCUAUGGUUUGUAAACUUCUUUUAUACAGGGAUAAACCUACUCUCGUGAGGGUAGCUGAAGGUACUGUAUGAAUAAGCACCGGCUAACUCCGUG